AUCAACGCUGGCGGCGUGCCUAACACAUGCAAGUCGAACGCGAAAGUCCCGCAAGGGAUGAGUAGAGUGGCAAACGGGUGAGUAACACGUGGGUGACCUGCCUUCAAGUGGGGGAUAACGUCCCGAAAGGGACGCUAAUACCGCAUAACAUGCCGCUUUUUAACAGGCGGACAUCAAAGCCGGGGAUCGCAAGACCUGGCGCUAGAAGAGGGGCCCGCGCCUGAUUAGCUAGNGGUGGGGUAAUGGCUCACCAAGGCGACGAUCAGUAGCCGGCCUGAGAGGGCGGACGGCCACACUGGGACUGAGACACGGCCCAGACUCCUACGGGAGGCAGCAGUGGGGAAUUGUUCGCAAUGGGCGCAAGCCUGACGACGCAACGCCGCGUGGAGGAUGAAGACC
rnacentral:rRNA from 1 species